rnacentral:rRNA from 1 species
AUUGAACGCUGGCGGCAUGCUUUACACAUGCAAGUCGAACGGUAACAGGGUGCUUGCACCGCUGACGAGUGGCGAACGGGUGAGUAAUGCAUCGGAAUGUACCGUGUAAUGGGGGAUAGCUCGGCGAAAGCCGGAUUAAUACCGCAUACGCCCUGAGGUGGAAAGUGGGGGACCGAAAGGCCUCACGUUAUACGAGCAGCCGAUGUCUGAUUAGCUAGUUGGUGAGGUAAAGGCUCACCAAGGCGUCGAUCAGUAGCGGGUCUGAGAGGAUGAUCCGCCACACUGGGACUGAGAAACGGCCCAGACUCCUACGGGAGGCAGCAGUGGGGAAUUUUGGACAAUGGGCGCAAGCCUGAUCCAGCCAUGCCGCGUGUCUGAAGAAGGCCUUCGGGUUGUAAAGGACUUUUGUCCGGGAGCAAAUCCUAGUGGUUAAUACCUACUGGAGCUGAGAGUACCGGAAGAAUAAGCACCGGCUAACUACGUG